AAAGAAUGGAGAUACUCACUGGUCAUCCUCUUGCUGUUGAUAUAUUUGUAAAAGAGCUUCUUGUUCCUUUUUAUCCCAGCAGUCAGGUUGAGUUCAAGCUGGGCCUUUGCCUUUCUGAUUUUCUCCCUGCACAUCUGAACAACUUCUUUGUAUUCUUUCUGAGUUGCCCAUCCCUUCUUCCACAGGAGGUAGAUUCUCUUUUUCACCUGGACCCUCAGGAAUAGCUCCCUAUUCAUCCACGACAGUCUUCUUCUGCGCCAGCUCAUUUUAUGGCUCAGGGGCACAUCCUGCUCCUGUGCCUUCAAGACUUCCUUCUUGAAGAGCGACCAGCCAUCUUGGACCCCUUUACUCUCCGAGACUGAAUCCCAGGGGACUCCCCCUACUGGUCUUCUGAACAAUUCAAAGUGUGCCCUCCGGAAGUCCACAGUAGCAGUUUUGCUGUUUCCCCCUCCUGAUUCCAAGGACUCUACUCAUGUAGCCCAACUCCCCUUCAGUGAACAGGGACAACUGCAGGAACAUCAAAUUGCUCAGAGCCAGGUCCAGCCUGGCCUUGAGUGUCUCCAAGGACGGGGCAUCCACCGCUUCUCUGGGCAACGGGAGGACAUUCUGAAAUCCAGACAAAACUAUACAGAAAUGUGCUGCUUCAAUUUCCCAGAUUUCAUCAGCAUUCAAAUAAAUCCUGAUUUCUUUCUCGCUGACCAGAAGAUCCUUUUCUUUGUAAGGCCAGCUAGCUUCUUACUGCAAACAUUUCUUACGCUUUCAGGAACUUGGCAGGAACAAAUGAGUGUGUAACUCACGUCAAAGGAAAAAAAUCCCACUCACACAUGUAUGCAGCAAAUAUUCCAAUAAGUUUGUCUUUAGUACCAGGAGCCAUCUCUUUUACAGGAUUUGUUCUAUGAUAUCACUGCACUUUCAAUUUUUAUAUUACCAUUUCUCUGUAGUAUGUCACCAGCACAGUGCCUAGAUAAGCUCUUGCUUGGUUUAGACUGCAGUCAAGAGUGCUCAUUGAAGCUGACAACAGAAGAAAAUAAAAAAUCAACGGUAACUUCCUAACAUCAAACAAGAAAUGUCAUUAUUUUCAAAGUUGCAUUUGGUGUUGCAUCAAGUGUUUGUACUAAUAGCAUGAACCACAAAUAAAUGAAUUCCAGAGGGAAUCUGCUUUGAGGCUUGUAAUUCCCUACAACUUGCCCCAUACAGUAUUCUUACAAAUGUUCUUUAGUUUUCACAUGACCUUUAAUACUGCUGUGCUGGCCUCCCAGGAUCAAGUUUUUUAAAAAAACAGGUGCCUGAAGCUUGAUUUUUACAUCAAUAUCCAUGCCCCUGGAUUGACGGCUUGAUUUUAAAAAAGCCUCGAGCAUCAGGCAGUUCCCAUUGAUUUCAUCAUGGAGUUGGAUGUCGCAAAUCAGUAUUGUCAGGUUCCCAGAUAUGUUGCUGAGUCGGGGCCCUAGUGGCCCUGGGAUUGUUGUAUCAUGGUGACCAAUUAUUUUCACUUGUCACUGCACAGUAUAUGUGAGGUUUUGUUGCAAUUGUACAUUACUAUGUGGUCUAAUCUUGUGAUUUCAGUUUGUUAUGGUUUUAUGAUUUUUGUUAUCAGUAUUCCACAUCAUAACAUCAUGUCUUGCACUGGGAGUUAAGGAGUUAAUGCUGCAGGUCUGUGGAUAGUUGACAGUUCUGGGUUUGCCUGUCUCAGCAGAAUAAUAUUGUAAGUUAAACUUUAUCUUGUUUUAUUAAACUUUGAAAGCAUUUUGAGUUCGACGUAAGAAAUCAUAACUUUCUUUUUAAAUCUCCAUUGAACUCUCUUUUACACUAGCAGUUUAUACCAUUAUACUACAUAAAUAACUUAUUAAAGUUCCAGUUUAAGUUAGUAGCUAUUCCAAAAGAAAAUUCUUUAGCUGCAUUUGGGCAAAGUAGCAGAAAGGUAAAAGCAAUUGAACAUUAAAAGUUACAGUCUCUUUAUGUCAUAUGUUUUGACUUCAUCACACAAAUCACCAUGCUUAUCAUUCUCUGCAUUUCUUUGCUAAUGGAAUGGACUCCAUCAGCCUUUUUUCUGCAUUACUAUUUAAACUAUUUGAAUUUUUUUCUGCAUUACUAUUUGAGCUGGUAUUUGAACAAUUUGAACUGCAUUACAGCUGUGUAAUGAUCUCUAGUUCUUGCGAUAGCUAUGAGAGUAAUGAAAUCCAUUAGCAAUCUGUAUAAAAUCUAGACGUUCAAGAUAAGAUUGAAGUCCUGAAAAUGAUGAAAGUUCAGUCUCUUGAUUUGCAGCAGCUUCCACUUUUCACAACCAAAAGUCUCAGAAACUUACACACAAGUAAGUUAUCACAGUAACUUACAUAAGUUUACUUUUUACCUCUAAUUUAUUUAGUUGUCUGAACUAUAGUUGUAUGACUUCCAUUCUCUUCAACAGAUGAUUCCUCAGUAGAUUCUGUUCAGCACUGAAUAAUACACUGGCAAAGGUUAUCAGCUUUAGUAUACUGGAAAGAAAAUCCAGAUGAGCACAGAUUCUUGUUCCAGGCUUGUUUCUUCCAUUGAAUUUAGUAUAAGUUUUCCAGUUAAUUUCAACAGAUGGAAAAGCACAUCCUGACAAUUUAUGACAGCCUUUAAACAAAGAAAAGUCUUAGAAAUAGAUGUCAUCUACGCCUAAGAAAACUGGGAGCAUUACAGAAAGUGCUACCAUGCUGUCAGUGUUUUGUGUCUGAGUACGUCUCUGCCCAAGGUUUUUGUUUGUUCUGCUUUUUUGUACCUUUUAUUGUUUUAGAGGAGAAGCUAACAAAAGGUUCAGUUCUCUAGCUAAAGUCUAUUGUUAAUCUGUGUAAUGAAUCCAUUUGGUUUCUAUGGAAGUUUUAAGUCACGAAAAAUAAUGACAUUUCUGUUCCCUCUAAUAAAAGGCUUUAUCUAUAU
ensembl:lncRNA